UACGGCCAUAUCACACUGAAACACCAGUUAUCACCAAAGUUAAGCAAGAUUGUGCUUGGUCAGUGUCGAGAUGGGUGACCGUUUGGGAAGACCAGGUGUUGUAAG